ensembl:lncRNA
ACAUCACCAACAUUUCUGAUUUCAACUUUGCAAGGGCUGUUUGUUUCAAAUAAAGCCAGCUUAUCUUUUACGUUAAUUUCCCGAGCUAUUUCUGACAAUGGCUUUCUUUGGGAUCACAAACCUUGGCUAUCAGAACCCUUUAGGAGACAGGAUGCUUUCUCGAUCGCUAAAGAAGGCGGAUUCGCAAGAAGAACCGAGAUGGGAUGAAGUACCUGAACUCACUCCAGUCAGUUCCCCGAGAAGACUGACGUGCACCGAGACAUGCAGCGUUUACAGUCAGCCCGCUCCCUUCAGUGUGGACAUACACCAGGGUAGUCAAAAGAGGUACAAAGAGAUGACCAGCCAGAUGCAGACACCCAGGGCACCUAACCAACUGUACCGUAUGCCCUUGACGGAAAAUCAGCAGUAUGGAUGGUGGCUGCCAAUCAGCGAACCCCGCACCUGCGAAUCUUGGACUAAAGUUAAUCGCUUCCCCCGCAAGAACAGUGAAAUGACUAAGUAUGAAAAAUUCUUCCUUCCACACUAUACUGUGUAAUUUUAGUUUCCAUCUCUGUAGUCAGUUACAUAAAUCCCUGUAACAGGAAUUCCUGUGUUUCGGUUUCACCCUGCGGUGCAGUAUUUUCACUCUUCAUAGGAUUGCACUCUUCUGGGCUGAGACUGAUGUUGUCAUUCCUGGGAUCUGUUGGAGCUUAGGGGUCACAGUGCUUCCCAAGUGCUCCUGUCACCACUAGGACAACCUUUGGGUUAACUUUCCAGUGGUCUCUAUUUCCACUUUCAGACCCUCAGUAAAGUAGCAAUUGUUAGUCCACUUAGCCUGCCUUUUUUUUUUUUUCUUCCCAGGUUUGUGAAGGAGAUGUCCAUGACUGACCGGGAAUUCAGCUUAUUUUGAGCUUCACUGAUAAAACCAUCCAUGUGGAUCUCCGUUCCUCUUUCUCUCAAUACAUACGUGUUGCAUUUAACUACUCGUUGUUUUUAUAAAGUGAUGUGUUUUUAACAUUAGCGUCCAUACUUGCCGGUCAUUUUCUUUGUGUCAUGCUUUAACAGAACACCAUUCUGAAAUAUCUUUCUUACGGUAGUGCAUGAAUUCCACAUAUAACUGAGCAAACACUGGAAAUGCUCAUUGUAUAGAUUGUACAAAUCUUUCAUGCAGGCAACCACAAUGUCUCUACAAAGCUCUGUCAUACUGAAUGCACU